rnacentral:rRNA from 1 species
AUGAACGCUGGCGGCGUGCCUAAUCCCUGCAAGUCGAGCGAACAGAUGAGGAGCUUGCUCCUCUGACGUUAGCGGCGGACGGGUGAGUAACACGUGGAUAACCUACCUAUAAGACUGGGAUAACUUCGGGAAACCGGAGCUAAUACCGGAUAAUAUAUUGAACCGCAUGGUUCCAUAGUGAAAGACGGUUUUGCUGUCACUUAUAGAUGGAUCCGCGCCGCAUUAGCUAGUUGGUAAGGUAACGGCUUACCAAGGCAACGAUGCGUAGCCGACCUGAGAGGGUGAUCGGCCACACUGGAACUGAGACACGGUCCAGACUCCUACGGGAGGCAGCAGUAGGGAAUCUUCCGCAAUGGGCGAAAGCCUGACGGAGCAACGCCGCGUGAGUGAUGAAGGUCUUCGGAUCGUAAAACUCUGUUAUUAGGGAAGAACAAAUGUGUAAGUAACUAUGCACGUCUUGACGGUACCUAAUCAGAAAGCCACGGCUAACUACGUG